rnacentral:rRNA from 1 species
GGGCCCGCACAAGCAGUGGAGUAUGUGGUUUAAUUCGACGCAACGCGAAGAACCUUACCAGGUCUUGACAUCAAGUGAAAGGCUUAGAGAUAAGCCCCUCCCUUCGGGGACACGAAGACAGGUGGUGCAUGGUUGUCGUCAGCUCGUGUCGUGAGAUGUUGGGUUAAGUCCCGCAACGAGCGCAACCCUUAUAAUCAGUUGCUACAUUCAGUUGAGAACUCUGAUUAGACUGCCGUUGACAAAACGGAGGAAGGUGGGGAUGACGUCAAAUCAUCAUGCCCUUUAUGACCUGGGCUACACACGUACUACAAUGGCGAUUAACAAAGAGAAGCGAACCGGCGACGGCAAGCGAAACCCUAAAAUCGCCUCAGUUCGGAUUGGAGGCUGCAACCCGCUCUAUGAAGUCGGAAUUGCUAGUAAUCGCGAAUCAGCAUGUCG